AAAUUGAAGAGUUUGAUCAUGGCUCAGAUUGAACGCUGGCGGCAGGCCUAACACAUGCAAGUCGAACGGUAACAGGAAGCAGCUUGCUGCUUCGCUGACGAGUGGCGGACGGGUGAGUAAUGUCUGGGAAACUGCCUGAUGGAGGGGGAUAACUACUGGAAACGGUAGCUAAUACCGCAUAACGUCGCAAGACCAAAGAGGGGGACCUUCGGGCCUCUUGCCAUCGGAUGUGCCCAGAUGGGAUUAGCUAGUAGGUGGGGUAACGGCUCACCUAGGCGACGAUCCCUAGCUGGUCUGAGAGGAUGACCAGCCACACUGGAACUGAGACACGGUCCAGACUCCUACGGGAGGCAGCAGUGGGGAAUAUUGCACAAUGGGCGCAAGCCUGAUGCAG
rnacentral:rRNA from 1 species